rnacentral:rRNA from 1 species
UGGGGAAUUUUGCACAAUGGGGGAAACCCUGAUGCAGCGACGCCGCGUGAUUUAGAAGGCCUUCGGGUUGUAAAGAUCUUUUCUAUGGGAAGAAAAUGACAGUACCAUAGGAAUAAGGACCGGCUAAUUACGUGCCAGCAGCCGCGGUAAUACGUAAGGUCCGAGCGUUGUCCGGAAUCAUUGGGCGUAAAGGGUACGUAGGCGGGUAAGCAAGUUAGAAGUGAAAUCCUAUAGCUCAACUAUAGUAAGCUUUUAAAACUGCUCAUCUUGAGGUAUGGAAGGGAAAGUGGAAUUCCUAGUGUAGCGGUGAAAUGCGCAGAUAUUAGGAGGAAUACCGGUGGCGAAGGCGACUUUCUGGCCAUAACCUGACGCUGAGGUACGAAAGCGUGGGUAGCAAACAGG